UACGUAGGGUGCAAGCGUUAUCCGGAAUUAUUGGGCGUAAAGAGCUCGUAGGCGGUUUGUUGCGUCGGCUGUGAAAUCCCGAGGCUCAACCUCGGGUCUGCAGUCGAUACGAGCAAACUAGAGUGUUGCAGGGGAGACUGGAAUUCCUGGUGUAGCGGUGAAAUGCGCAGAUAUCAGGAGGAACACCGGUGGCGAAGGCGGGUCUCUGGGCAACAACUGACGCUGGAGGAGCGAAAGCGUGGGGAGCGAACAGG
rnacentral:rRNA from 1 species